rnacentral:lncRNA from 1 species
AAAUAUAUAUAUAUUAGCCUAUAUGGGUCCGGCUGCUAUCCUAUUAAUAGGAUUUGGACCCUUGUCCUAUCAAGUCGAUUUGAAUGAUCAGAACUUCAAAUUGAUAAUUGGCACCGUUGAAGUUGAUCUACACAAUUAGAAAUGUUUAGAAACUAAAUUUUGUAUUAUUUAAAAAUCAUUAUCAAGUUCAUCUUAAGAGUUGAAAAAUGAACGGUCAUAAAUAAAUAACCUUCUUAAAAUAGAAGUUAGACUUUCUCAGUUUGUAAUCAGAGUUAUCAAACAUUAUCUAAAUAGUAUAAAGAAUUUUCUAUAAAAAAUUCAAGCAAUUUGGAUUGCUCUACAUCGUUAAACAAGCAAACGGCUCAUAUAGGCCGUCAAAAAUUGUCAAUUUUACGACACUUUGAUCACCAUGUAAACCAUUAUCAAAAUUUAUGAAAUUUAGUUUCUAGAUAUUUCAAAUACUCUAGAUCAACUUCAACGGCUCCGAUCAUCGAUUCGGAAUCUCGAUCAUCAAGAACAACUUGAUAGGACAAGUGCUCCUAUCCUAUUAAUAGGAUAGUAGCAUUAAGGCUAUAAGAUCUAUCAUAUAUAAUAUUAUACUCAAAUAAUAAUAAUAGUACACUACUAAUAUAAGAGAGAGAGAGAGAGAGAGAGAGAGAGCAGGAAGAGAGAGAGAUGAUCUGUACGAUGAAGAGAGAGAGAGAGAGAGGCUCCUAUGCUUUCGAAAGUACGGAGGUCUCCGUACUUGUAAGUUGUUUUCGAUGAUGGAACGUCCGAUUCAGCGAUCGGUUCCAUUAGACAUGAUCUACACUAUUGGAACUAUGUAGAAACCAAAUUUCAUAAUUUUUUAACAUCAUUUAUCAAGCGAUCACAGGGUCUCAAAAAUGACUAUUUUAACGGCCGAUGUGGCACGUUUUUAAAUUCAACGGUGUAGAAGUUUUCAAAUUAUAUGAAAUUUUAAUAGGAAAUUCUACUUAACAUUAAGAGUAAGAACAAUACUUCCGAUUUGAAAUUUGAGUCUUUUAUCACUAUUUUUUAUGAGAUUUUUAUUUUCAGCCGUUCAUUUUAAGGCUAUUCGUUCACUAGGCAAACAAAGUCAAAAAAUUCUGAAAUUUGGUUUCUAGAUAGUUUAAAUAGUGUAAAUCAUAUUUAACGGAACCGAUCGCUGAAUUGGAAGUCCCAUCAUCGAAAACAACUUUCUGUCGUAUCAAAUAAGUUUUUAUAUCUAUCUGAGCACCUUUUAAACAAAAAUUUUCUUCUAAGUAAGUUUGAUAAUCUCACCACCCUCUUUGUUACAAAAAUUUAUAAAUAUAAUUUUCAACUCCAUGUAACAAAAUAAAUUACUUUCCAGCUAUAAUACUUUCUGCCGUAUCCAACCAAAUAAGAUACAUGCAGUCACAUUUGCUAUAUAUAUCAAACUACACUGUAUUUAUAAUUAUAUCAAACUA